rnacentral:rRNA from 1 species
GAUGAACGCUGGCGGCGUGCUUAAUACAUGCAAGUCGAGCGAACAGACGAGGAGCUUGCUCCUCUGACGUUAGCGGCGGACGGGUGAGUAACACGUGGAUAACCUACCUAUAAGACUGGGAUAACUUCGGGAAACCGGAGCUAAUACCGGAUAAUAUAUUGAACCGUAUGGUUCAAUAGUGAAAGACGGUUUUGCUGUCACUUAUAGAUGGUUCUGCGCUGCAGUAGCUAGUUGGUAAGGUAACGGCUUACCAAGGCAACGAUGCGUAGCCGACCUGAGAGGGUGAUCGGCCACACUAGAGCUGGACCACGCUCCAGGCUCCUACGGGAGGCAGCAGUCGGGUAUGUUACGCAGUAGGCGGGAGCCUGACGGAGCGACGCCGCGUGAGAGAUAAAGGUCUUCGGAUCGUAAUGCUCUGUUAUUAGGGAGGAACAGAUGUGUAAGUAGCUGUGCACGUCUUGACGGUACCUAGUCAGGAAGCCACGGCUAACUACGUG